UAGCGGGGGGCAGCGUUGUUCGGAAUUACUGGGCGUAAAGGCUCGUAGGCGGCCAACUAAGUCGGACGUGGAAAUCCCAGGCUCAACCUGGAACUGCGUCCGAUACUGGAUGGCUUGAAUCCGGGAGAGGGAUGCAGAAUUCCAGGUGUAGCGGUGAAAUGACGUAGAUAUCGAGGAGGAACGACCGGUGGCGGAAGGCGGCUACCCUUGGACAGAGUCUGACGGCUGAGGCACGGAAGCUAGGGAGCAAACAGG
rnacentral:rRNA from 1 species